rnacentral:rRNA from 1 species
AAAACACAGGGAUACCUCAGUAACGGCGAGUGAAGCGGUAACAGCUCAAAUUUGAAAUCUGGCUCUUUCAGGGUCCGAGUUGUAAUUUGUAGAAGAUGUUUCGGGUGUGGCUCCGGUCUAAGUUCCUUGGAACAGGACGUCGUAGAGGGUGAGAAUCCCGUAUGUGACUGGCUGCCUCCGCCCAUGUGAAACUCUUUCGACGAGUCGAGUUGUUUGGGAAUGCAGCUCAAAAUGGGUGGUAAAUUUCAUCUAAAGCUAAAUAUUGGCCAGAGACCGAUAGCGCACAAGUAGAGUGAUCGAAAGAUGAAAAGCACUUUGGAAAGAGAGUUAAACAGUACGUGAAAUUGUUGAAAGGGAAGCGCUUGCAAUCAGACUUGCGCGCGGCCGAUCAUCCGGGGUUCUCCCCGGUGCACUCGGUCGCGUUCAGGCCAGCAUCGGUUUGGGUGGUGGGAUAAAGGCCUUGGGAAUGUAGCUUCUUUCGGGGAGUGUUAUAGCCCUCGGUGCAAUGCCGCCUAUCCAGACCGAGGACCGCGCUUCGGCUAGGAUGCUGGCGUAAUGGUUGUAAGCGACCCGUCUUGAAACACGGACCAAGGAGUCUAACACUUAUGCGAGUAUUUGGGUGUCAAACCCAUAUGCGUAAUGAAAGUGAACGGAGGUGAGAACCCUUAA